UCCAUUUAUUAUCUUUAUCAAUUUAGGUUGGUUGAUAAUGAUAUAGAAAGGGAUAUCCAUUUAACUGAUUUGUCUGCAUUCAGCAAUCCGAUUUUGCUUUUCUGUUGAUCAGAUACACUAAGGACGAAUUGGUCGAAGUCUAACUUUUCCCUCUACACACACAAUUCACAGAUUAUAAAACUAUAGAUACAAAAACCAAGGUGUUUAGGGAAGGUUCAGGGAACUUCUCUUCAAUCAGACCCACAAUAACCAAGGUGUUUGAGAGAGAGAGAGAGAGAGAGAGAGAGAGAGAGAGAGAGAGAGAGAGAGAGNAGAGAGAGAGAGAGAGAGAGAGAGAGAGAGAGAGAGAGAGUACACAGAGGCGAGUUCAGGUGGAGAAGAAAGUGAAGGUUCAGGGAACUUCUCUUCAAUCAGACCCACAAUAACAUCAGAAUCAGAAAUCCAUUUGUCAUCGAAUUUUAUCAACGGAACUUUCCCAUUUGGAUUCACUUCAAGAAACCUACAUGAACCCACAAAAAAAAUCAUCUAUUAAAACCCUACAAUCAAAAAGGCGACAUUUUUCUUGGGUAAAUUCAAGAUUCUUAAGAGAAUCAACAUCACCAUUCGGGUUUGCUGUCCAGAUUAAUAAGAAGGAUUGUGUAGGUGACCUUCUUCUCUUCCAGUGUCAAAAGAACCUUUUGACAAAAUGGACCUAAAUUCAUACCAAAAAAAAAACCCACAAAAAGAUCAAGAAAUCUUGCUAAAAUAAAAUCUCUAGGAAUCAUGAGAGAGAGAGAGAGAGAGAAUGAAUUACAGUCUCCAAGAAUAUCAGGAGCACCGACAGCAGCUUUGCAACAGACCUCAAUCGCCAUUAGAAUUGAAACUUAUAAUUUGCUGCUUGUUCUAUCGAAUUGGGUGAGUUGUGUGGAUAUUUAUGCAGGACUUGGAGCGCAUACUGUCGUUGAUUGUCGACAGAACCCAAUGAAGGGAAGGAUGUUUCAUAUGCUCCGUAGCGAAACGGAACAAUUGAAAGAUUCACGUUUAACAAACCAAAAGGCAUGAUCGAAAAGUUAAAGAAAGAAAACGGAUACCCACCCUAUCUAGUUUCUAGAACAAGCAAAUGACUGUUAAACAGACACUGUGUUUGUUCAUGGAUUUAAGUAUUCUGGUGAAGACGUUUCGUAAAAUGUUUUUAAGGAUGUUCAAACAUCAAAAGGAAACUACUAAAAUAUGAUAUAUUUUCUAGAAGAUAAUCGUGAUGCCAAUGGUAGAUGUAGGGUGCAACUAAAUCAAGCCAUUUCGCCGGAUACUCAUGACCAACUUGAAAAUUACUCGAGCUCGUGCUACUCAAGUAUAUGAUCGAGUCGAGCUUGAGUAUUGAAAUAUACACCUCGUGAGCUUAAGAGCUAGUUAUAUUUAUAAUUUUACCCUUUAUUUUAGACAAACCUAUAAAAAUGUCUUUAUGGUAUAUGUAUUUUUGGGGUUUUAGUCCAAACCACGAUUUUUUUGGAUUAGUGGUCCUUUUGAGGUAAUUUCGUUGCCUUUUUUGUCCCUCAGUAAACUAAAAUGACUGUAAUACCCUUAUGAUUUUUUUUAAAGAAAAUACUUAAUUAACUUGGGCCUCUCUCUCUCUCUCUCUCUCUCUCUCUCUCUCUCUCUCUCUCUCUCUCUCUCUCUCUCUCUCUCUCUCUCCUAUACGUUAUUCUCCUGCGCCAUCACCCACUGUUGAACUCUAAAUUGAGAAGAUGAACUCCAAAUUCUUCCCCACUGACUAUCGAUUUUCCAGUGACAUCCUUUAUUUCUUUGAUUCCAUUAACCCCCAAACCUAUAAAUGAUAUAAUACAUGCAUACGAAAUCGAUUUUUCGGAAAUCAAUUGUUCUUGAAGACCCAUAAGCCUUCUUUCAGAUUCAGAAAUUGAUUUCUAGUUCCAAAAGCAACCCCAGACAUCCGGUUUUUCUUGAAGAGCAAACAUAAAAUUGAUUGUUUGUAUGCGUGUGUGUUUGACUUGAAGAGCAAACAUAAAAUCGAUUUUUCAGAAACCGAUUGUUCUUGAAGACCCAUAAGCCUUUGAUCUAGGAAUUUUCAGAAAAACGCAUCCAAACACCCCCCCUUGUCAUCAUUAAAUUGAUCAUCCAAACAUCUUUUAAAACUGGAUAAAAGAACUCACGAUUCCAUAUCCAAAAUCAAUCAACAAAGGUUCCAGAUCCAAAAAAAAAAAAAUACUCAUUAAAGUGCACAAAUCGAAGUAUCUACGAAAUGCUUACAUGCAUCUCCACAUCCAACCUGGUAAACCUCAUAUAGUAUCCUAAAGAGGUGUAAAACAUACCUAGUAAAGUGAUAUUGAGUUGGGAACAAAAUUCAAAUCAAACUAUGGAGUUUGGGAACAAAAUCAUAAUUGAAAUCUGAAGUUUGGGUUACAGUGGAGAAAUACGAAAGGGAAAGGAACAAAAUCAAAAUAUAAAGUUGAGAUCGUCGUCGGAAGUGUGGAUGGAACUUCCAUCGUGUCAUCGUCCCCUGGAUUUGUAAGAAUUUGGGUUAUAGGGGAGGAAGACGUAUACAAAGGGUUGGGUUUGGUCAUCGUUGAUUGUAUAUUGUGAUUCAAAUGGGAAAAAAAUGGUGAAUCUUGAACCCUCGCUUCAUUUUUUACAUCUGAACUCUUCAAAGAUGUAAGGCUACUAUGGUUCAUCUAUGGAAUUUUGUGUGUGAGAGAUCUUUUUGUGUUUGAAGUUGCAGAUACGGAUUAGUUCUAGUAUACUUUUGUUCCUGAUUGUUUGUAGUUCUUGCAUAAAUAAAAAGUCAUACGAGAGAGAGAAGUUGGGUCCUCUUUUUAUUUAUCAAUUAGUAAAAUAGAUAAUUAUAUAUAUUAAAUUAAGAAAAUAAAAGAAACAUGAAAAAUAAAUACAUGAGGGGCAUUACAGUCAAUCAGUUUACCGAGAGACCAAAUAUGCAUCGAAACUAGGCCAAAAUGACUAUCAAUCCAAAAAAUUCGAGGUUUAGACCAAACCUCAGAAAAUGCAUAACACAUGGACCAUUUUUGCAAUUUUGUCUUUAUUUUAUUCAUAUUUUAUAUAAUCGGACCGAGUCGAAUCGAACUCACGAGCUUAAUCGUAUUUCUAUUUCAAUUUAAUGUAAUUUUAUCUUUUUAAUAAUUAAUCGAGUCAACUUAAGCCGAGCUCGAAAGUGACAAUUACUUUAUCAAGAUCGAGCCCGAUUUGAAAUUGAGGCUUGAGUCGAGAUCGUGUUGAAUUUCAAGCCCAAGUUUUUCAGUCGGGUCAAGUUUCAAGCUCGAUUACACCCUAGGUAGUUGUAUCUCCAAUCUUUAGGGCGGCAUGAUGAUAACUCAACGUUGUGGCGUCAUCGGUUGGGUCAUAUGAGCGAGAAGGGAAUGUCGAUUUUCAGUAAACAAGGAUAACUUGGUGGAGAUGUAAUUAGUAAUAUAAAGUUUUAUGAAACUUGUAUCAAAGAAAAGCAACAUACGGUGAAGUUCAGGUAUAGUUAACAAACAACCACUAAAUAAAUUCUUAAGUAUGUUCACUCAUGUUUAUGGUGACCCUCAUCGGUGAAAUCACAUAGUGGAUACUCGUAUUUUGUGAUGCUCAUUAAUGACUUCUCAAAAAAAAAAAAGGAUUUGGCUGUAUUUUUUUAAAAUGAAAAAACAAGGUGUUUGGGUGGUUAAAGGAGUGAAGAAUGUGUAAGAAAACGGGCAUGAAAACAAGUCAAAACACUAAAAACGGAUGAUUGGUUAGAAUUAUGUAAUGCACCAUUUAACGAAUUCUAAAAAAGGAAAGCAUAUUUAGGCACCGCACUGUACGAUACACAUUAAAACAAAAACUGUUUGUAGAAAGAAUGAACCAACCAUUAAUACAACAUGCAAUAUGUAUGUAUUUGUUCAUUAGUAAAAGCAAUUUUUAGGCUAAAGUAGUAAAUAUUGCUUGCUAUUUGGUAAUAGAUCUCCAUUCAGUUGUAAUCGACUUAAAGACUCUUCAAAAGGUUUGUUCUUGUAAACCUUUUGAUUAUUCUUAUCUAUGUAUAUUUAUUGUCAUGUUAAUGAUGGUAAACUGAAACCGAGAACUAGGAAAUGAAUAUGUUUAGGAUAAGCAGUUGGAGUUAAAGUUAUAUCGAUUAUGGUGUGCAGAAUAAGGAAAACUCUAAAAAAAAUACUAUUAAUAGAGAUGUUACCUUUUAUGGAUCUACUAUAUCUUAUCAAAUAUGAGAGAAUACGAGUCUUUAAAGAAAAAAAAAUGAUUGUGGUGAUAUGUAGAAGGUAGAUUAAAACAGACUCCUAACAGAGAAUACAAGUCUUUAAAACAAACUCUUUUAAAGGCCCAUGGCAAGUGCAUUUAGUAUAAAGCUUGAGCAACUGGAUGUAGAAACAUCAUUCUUUCAUGGUAAUCUAGAAGAGGAUAUUUAUGUCUCAUCCCCAAGGGUUUCUUGACUACAAGGAAGAUCAUGUAUAUUUGUUGAAGAAAUCUAUUUAUGUUUUGAAACAAUGUCCAAGUCAAUGAUAUAAAGGGUUUGAUUUAUUUAUGAUAUCUCAUUGUUAUGUUUGAAUCCGGUUGGAUAAUUGCGUCUAAUCAAAGAAAUUUUUUUAUGAUUUCGAUAUUUGUUGUGAUAGAUAACAUGUUAAUUGCAACCAAGAAUAUGGUUGAAUUUAAUGCCUUGACACUUUAUUGAAAUGAGAGCUCCAUAUGAAGGACUUGGGUGCAACAAAGAAGAUAUCAAGUAAGGAGAUCUAGAGGGAAAGGAAAGUAAGUAGGUUAUACAAUGCAGGCCGACUUGUACUCGUUUAGCAGCAACUUUAAACUCGACUAUACCAAUUAUAAAUAAAUAGAAAAUUUACAUGACCAAGAGUUCUGUAUUCGAGUGUUGUUGGAAGUCUCAUGUAUGUUAUGGUUUGUACUAGACUUGACCUGCAUCACACCGAUAGUAUUAAGUAGGUUUAUGAGUAGUUUGGAAAAUGAGCAAUCAAGCAUAUCAUGUGAUACUUGGAAGGACCAAUAAAUAUUUGUUUGGUUCAUGGUUUUGGUACAUAUAGUGAUGGUUUGGUUGUCUAUGCAGACUCGGAUCAUGGUGAUGACUUUGUGAAGAGACGAUCACAAACGUUCUAUAUCUUUACCUUAUCUUGAUGACUAAUUAGUUGGAAGGCAACAUUACAACCCACAAUUUCCUUAUUCACAAGUAAGGCAAAGUACAUGUCAAUGACCGAAGGGAUGAAGGAAUGAAUAUGGCUACACGGUCCCAUUCAGAGUCUUAUGUUGAAGGUGGAGAGGCUCACUUUGUAUUGUGACGGUGAAAGUGUGUUAAGUCUGACAAAGAAUCCAAUACAUCAAGUAUAUCAUGAUAAUACAAAGCAUAUUUACAGCUAAACUUUUCAUCCGUGAUGUUCUUGAAGAAGCUUGAUUCUCUACUUGGAGAAAACUAUUGAAGAGAACCCAAAAGAUAUGUUGACUAAGGUGUUACCUACAGAUAAGUUCAAGCUAUUCUUAAUUUUGGUAAAUGUUUGAAAAAGGUGAGCCAUUCAUGGCAGUGAAAUGGUUCUUGAAGAAGUCUUAGAGUUAAGGUAGAAUUGUUAGACAUGUUACUUUGAAUUGUAUGGAAAUUCAAAUGGUUUUAUGGCACAACCCAAGUCUGCUACAUGUUCUUGUAUUUAAAAAAUCUUGUAUAUGCAGGCAGCACAAUAUGUACUCGAGUUAUGGCUGCAAGAUUCAUGAUGUAACAUACGUAAGAGUAGUAUUACAUUGUGAAUAAGAUAUCUCCAUUUCCUACCCAUGGAUCGAAGUCAUCAAACCACAUCUUUGUGUCAUCUCAUUAAUUUUUUGUAUCUAUUUAUUUCCCUCUUCUUUUCUCUUUAACACCUUGCAUGACAAUAUCUUUAAGGAAAAGACACUUCGAAUUUCAUUGAGAUGUAACUAUGGUUAUUAUAAAACUUGGUUUAAUCUUCUCACCAUUUAACCCGAGUUCCGACCCAACUUCUAUUGUUUAAUCAAAAGGCAACAGCAAUACACAAAGACUCAGAUUGGGGGUUGAAUACCCUGCAACUUUUGUUUGUAGUUUCUUGUUGUAAACAUAGAAAAUAUAUUGCAUUUGUAAUGACAAUGCAAAGCCAACUUGUGACAAUACUUAAAUAAUGCAUAUGUGUAAUCGCAUUUGGCUUACUAUCAAACAUCUUCCAAUUUCCUAAAUAAUUAAUAUAUUUAAUACUAAUACAAAAAUCUAUUGACUAGGGUAACGAUCUAAUAUUUAUUUGAAUAAAGCAACUCAUGCAGCAUUUUGUAAACACUUUGAUAUACUUUGAAUACCAUAUUUGUUUUAGCUCAAAAGUUAAAUUUUACUCAUUAGACCCAAUAGCAUCACAAACCAUAGGUUUUUAUAAAAUAUAUCCAGUAACAUAAAGUGAAGAAAUGGAGUUACUAAAGCUAGAGUUUGGAAUGGCUUCAUGGAUUAACCUUUGGUGCCCAUCCAGCAAUCAUAUAUUCUUUAGCAGCUUUGGUUUUCUCAAACGACUCCCGAGCAAACAAAGACUGCACCAAAAAAAAAACCAUAAAUUUUUAUGCACAGAAUUUUUAAAAUAAAAUAAAUAUAUAUAAAAACCUUUUGUGUAUAUCUGAAUUUUGAAAAAAAAGUAACAUACCUUUGUGUAGUUAUGCACAUGAGUCAAACUUUCAGGAACAGUCCACUUCUUGAAAUGAGCAAGAGUCACCUCAAGGUGGUAAAGCUUUGGUGCCAAACUCAAAUCAACGGCUGUGAUCUUUUCUCCAUUCACAUAAGGUCCCUAUAUUUAAUAUGUUCAACUUACAACUUACUCAUCAUUCUAACAAAAUAGAGAUCGUAAUAGAAAAACAAACAAUCAUCUUCUUUUUUUUAUAAAUCUUACAUUAUUCUUGAGGUGUUCUUCCAAUGACUUCAAUUCAUCAAGCAAAGCUUGCUCUGUUCCAUCAUUGGCAUCCUUGCUCUUUAAGAAUGUCACAAACUUUGGGAAUAUCUUCGAUCCCCUAAAAGUCCAAAUAACAAGUCUAUAAAUGAUGCAAUUAUUUAAAAGAUUGAGCAAUAGUCGGUUUGAGUUUUGUAGUUGUUUAUGAGAAUUAUGAUUAUGGAUUAAACGACAAUAUCAUGAAUGGUCAAUUUGACUAGAGAAAUUCAAUGAGACAACUAUAGUCAAGGUACAACUAAUCUCAAUGAUGAAGUACCCUUAUAAUAAAAUACUGCAAGGGUCACCUAAUUAACAAGUACUUGACUUCAACAUCAUGGAGAAUUGAAAAGAAAAGAAAAAAAGACUCCAUUGCUUUAUAAAGUAUUAUACUUAUUUGACUGGUUUGUCUGUAUUCAGCAAUCCAUAUUUGGUUUUUUGUUGAUCAAGUAAACUAAGGAAGAAAUGAUCUAACCUUUCCCUAUACACAGUUUGCUAGAAGUAUCUACACAAUUAUCGACAGAUUAUAAAAAGUACAGAUACAAAAACAUAGGUGUUUAGCAUUUCCAUUAGCGUUUGUUUUGCAUUUUUGGACUAAUAUGUACACACAG
rnacentral:lncRNA from 1 species